UACGUAGGGUGCAAGCGUUGUCCGGAAUUCUUGGGCGUAAAGAGCUCGUAGGCGGUUUGUUGCGUCGGCUGUGAAAUCCCGAGGCUCAACCUCGGGUCUGCAGUCGAUACGAGCAAACUAGAGUGUUGCAGGGGAGACUGGAAUUCCUGGUGUAGCGGUGAAAUGCGCAGAUAUCAGGAGGAACACCGGUGGCGAAGGCGGGUCUCUGGGCAACAACUGACGCUGAGGAGCGAAAGCGUGGGGAGCGAACAGG
rnacentral:rRNA from 1 species